CAGUAGCCGCGGUAAUACAGAGGGUGCAAGCGUUAAUCGGAAUUACUGGGCGUAAAGCGUGCGUAGGUGGCGGUUUAAGUCCGUUGUGAAAGCCCUGGGCUCAACCUGGGAAUUGCAGUGGAUACUGGGUCACUAGAGUGUGGUAGAGGAUAGUGGAAUUUCCGGUGUAGCAGUGAAAUGCGUAGAGAUCGGAAGGAACAUCUGUGGCGAAGGCGACUAUCUGGGCCAACACUGACACUGAGGCACGAAAGCGUGGGGAGCAAACAGGAUUAGAUACCCCAGUAGUCCCUGUCUCUUAUAC
rnacentral:rRNA from 1 species